rnacentral:snRNA from 1 species
AUAUCUGAGGGUGUCUGUUUGUGAUAUCUGUCACCCCACUGAUCCCCAGAGUUGAUUCAAGCCAUCUGCCUGAAUAGGUUGGAGUCUGCUUUUCCUCGAUGCUCCAUGACCAUCUCUCUUGAAGUAGUGAGCUUAGUGGAAGAGGAUAACCAUCUCAGAUAGAAAGAGUGUAUCAGUCUUUAAUUAAGGGUACAUUAUAGCUGCACUCCCCUGCCAGAGCUUCUGAACAAACUCAGGAUCCAUUUGUUGAAGGAUGUAGAGUAGUCAUUGAAAUCACAAUUGAAUUAUUGAUUUAUACUGUAAAAUGAAUCAUUUU